GACGAACGCUGGCGGCGCGCUUAACACAUGCAAGUCGAACGGAAAGGCCUGCCUUCCCUUGUGGAUUGCGGGUACUCGAGUGGCGAACGGGUGAGUAACACGUGAGUGAUCUGCCCCCAACUUGGGUAUAAGCCUGGGAAACUGGGUCUAAUUCCCGAUAGGACUGCAGGGUGGUGCCUGUGGUGGAAAACGAUUUUCUAGUGGUUGGGGAUGAGCUCGCGGCCUAUCAGGUUGUUGGUGGGGUAAUGGCCUACCAAGGCGGCGACGGGUAGCCGGCCUGGGAGGGUGGACGGCCACAUUGAGACUGGGAUACGGCCCAGACGCCUACGAGAGGCAGCAGUGGGGAAGAUAGGACAAUGGGCGGAAGCCUGAUGCAGCGACGCCGCGUGGGGGAUGACGGGCUUCGGGUUGUAAACUCCUUUCGACCGAGAGGAAGCCACCUGGUUGGAAGGGUGGUGACGGUAGUGGUAGAAGAAGCACCGGCUAACUACGUG
rnacentral:rRNA from 1 species